rnacentral:rRNA from 1 species
GGGGAAUAUUGGACAAUGGGGGCAACCCUGAUCCAGCGAUGCCGCGUGUGUGAAGAAGGCCUGAGGGUUGUAAAGCACUUGAGUUGGGGAGGAGAGGUGUGAUUUUAAUAAAGUCACACGGAGACGUUACUCAAAGAAUAAGCACCGGCUAACUCUGUGCCAGCAGCCGCGGUAAUACAGAGGGUGCAAGCGUUAAUCGGAAUGACUGGGCGUAAAGGGCAUGUAGGCGGCAUGAUGUGUCAUAGGUGAAAUCCCCGGGCUUAACCUGGGAACUGCCUGUGAAACUAUCGAGCUAGAAUAUAGGAGAGGGAAGUGGAAUUUCCGGUGUAGCGGUGAAAUGCGUAGAUAUCGGAAAGAACACCAGUGGCGAAGGCGACUUCCUGGCCUAAUAUUGACGCUGAGAUGCGAAAGCGUGGGGAGCAAA